CACAACACUCUUUUCACCCCUUGGAGCAGGAUUUUGGAUGUGGGAGCUCUCAAUAUCUUCAUUUCCUGCACUCGAUUCAUUUCUGCACCAUUCAUCCAAGGAAACACCCCUCCAUUGCAUCCUUCUAAGCUUUUGCCCAACCUAGCUUAAGGAGGUUGCCAUCAGAUUGUGACUUGGAGAAGAUGGGAUCUACUAUGCUUCAA
rnacentral:lncRNA from 1 species